GGGGGGGGGGGGGGUGAACCGUCUGUUGGUCGAAAGGGGUCACUGGUCCUGCGUCAUAUCAAGGGGAAAACGACUUAUAGUAUUGUCAUGAUUGUUUCAAUCAAUCUGACAUUGAAAGGGCUGUUGGUUUUUAAAACGGGUUGAUAGAUCGUCGAUAUUGCAACAUCCUUCAAGAUCACCUCAUUUACGAGACUGCAGGCGUGUUACACCCGUCAUGGUUGGUCCACCGGGCUGCAUAUUGCCGACAAAACUGUAACACGUAGUUAACACCAAACGUUUUAAAUGUGAAGGGGAUAUUUCUAGUUCCUGGUUAGUCACGAGUCAUCAGAGGUCCCAUCGCGUGAUGACGGUGAUAUAUUGAAUCGUUCUUUUUAAUUCAUAUGUAAAAGCACAACAUAUAUUCAUUAAUACUAUGUUGCACAACAUAUAUUCAUUAAUACUAUGUUGUACUUCCACAGUGGUUAUCUGUCUGUCCCUACCCUGGCAUUAUGUUGUCCUAUAGUUUUGGGGUUAAAAGACAUACUGUUGAGAUUCAGGGGACCUGUAUUCAUAAAGCGUCCCAGAGGAGGAACACUCAUCUAGGAUCAAGUUCCCCGCCCCCCCCAGUCCAUUCAUUAUAGUCUUAACAAAGUGGAUCUGAGAACAGCACUCCUACUCUGGGAGGCUUAAUGAAUAUGGGACCUGGUGUCUUGUCACCCAAACAGAACCCAUCUAUUCAGAGUCCUAAGGAAUAAACAGUAAUGGUUAGAACCCAUCCAUCCAGAGUCCUAAGGAAUAAACAGUAACGGUUAGAACCCAUCCAUCCAGAGUCCUAUGGAAUAAACAGUAACGGUUAGAACCCAUCCAUCCAGAGUCCUAUGGAAUAAACAGUGUCAACAGUAACGGUUAGAACCCAUCCAUCCAGAGUCCUAUGGAUUAAACAGUGUCAACAGUAACGGUUAGAACCCAUCCAUCCAGAGUCCUAUGGAAUAAACAGUGUCAACAGUAACGGUUAGAACCCAUCCAUCCAGAGUCCUAUGGAAUAAACAGUGUCAACAGUAACGGUUAGAACCCAUCCAUCCAGAGUCCUAUGGAAUAAACAGUGUCAACAGUAAUGGUUAGAACCCAUCCAUUCAGAGUCCUAUAGAAUAAACAGUAACGGUUAGAACCCAUCCAUCCAGAGUCCUAUGGAAUAAACAGUAACGGUUAGAACCCAUCCAUCCAGAGUCCUAUGGAAUAAACAGUAACGGUUAGAACCCAUCCAUCCAGAGUCCUAUGGAUUAAACAGUAACGGUUAGAACCCAUCCAUUCAGAGUCCUAUGGAAUAAACAGUGUCAACAGUAACGGUUAGAACCCAUCCAUCCAGAGUCCUAUGGAUUAAACAGUGUCAACAGUAAUGGUUAGAACCCAUCCAUUCAGAGUCCUAUGGAUUAAACAGUGUCAACAGUAACGGUUAGAACCCAUCCAUUCAGAGUCCUAUGGAAUAAACAGUGUCAACAGUAACGGUUAGAACCCAUCCAUCCAGAGUCCUAUGGAAUAAACAGUGUCAACAGUAACGGUUAGAACCCAUCCUUUCAGAGUCCUAUGGAAUAAACAGUAUCAACAGUGAGGGAUAGAACCCAUCCAUCGAGAGUCCUAUGGAUUAAACAGUGUCAACAGUAAGGGAUAGCAUAUGGUACAGUUUCUUCAUCUCUACAUAAUGGUCACAUUGUAUGUAUAUGCAGAGCAAGAUGGCAGGGUGUGUGUGUGUGGGUGUGUGUGUGUGUGUGUCUGAGUCUAAUCUGAAAUACCUCAGUUGUCCUAUUCGUGGUUUUAGGGGUUGUCAACAAUGGUUUGGCAUCGACUUUCACGUCUUUGAUUUGCAAUAAUAAUAAACUGUCCUUGUGUUCUGUUGUCGGUAUAGAUCAGGGGUUCCCAAACGUUUUCACUCGGAGCCCCCCUCUCCAGCGUUGGGUAACAUCCCGUACCGUCCACCCCCGUCCCACGCCCCUUCGUCCCGUACCGUCCCCGUCCCCCCCUAUGGACACAAGCACUGUUCAUGACGCAAACUGUUGACACCCCGCUUGUUGGCGGAGAGAAUUUAGCAGGUUUAAAAGCUUUUUUCCUGCAAUUCUACACAUUUUGUCAUAUGGGGUGCAAGGAAAUUGUUGCCGUUUAAAUGCUAAUUUUCUUGCAAUUAUUUUACAAUUUUGUCAUGUCUAAUGGUUCCCAAACUCUGGGCACCCCACAGUUUGGGAACCACUGGAAUAGACGACCACCUAUUGUUUCCGUCAAUCCGCUGUGUUUCAGUACAAUGUCUAUAUGGGGGUACGUGUCAAUGAAGCCAAAUGUUACUUUUUUUUAGUGUGUCCUAGUUUGCCCCUACAUUGCAAUAACAACGAUAGAGACCUUUGGAAAUUGGACUAUACAAACCUUUAUUCAAAGAAAGCACUGUUGUGAUAUUUAAUUAAAGGCAAGAAACAAUGCUUCACCUACUGUACCAGUGAGAGGAUGAGGUGAUGGGCAUCACCAAUACCUACCAGUGAGAGGAUGAGGUGAUGGGCAUCACCAAUACCUACCAGUGAGUGGAUGAGGUGAUGAGCAUCACCAAUACCUACCAGUGAGUGGAUGAGGUGAUGGGCAUCACCAAUACCUACCAGUGAGUGGAUGAGGUGAUGAGCAUCACCAAUACCUACCAGUGAGUGGAUGAGGUGCUGUGCUUCACCUACUGUACCAGUGAGAGGAUGAGGUGCUGUGCUUCACCUACUGUACCAGUGAGAGGAUGAGGUGAUGGGCAUCACCAAUACCUACCAGUGAGUGGAUGAGGUGCUGUGCUUCACCUACUGUACCAGUGAGUGGAUGAGGUGCUGUGCUUCACCUACUGUACCAGUGAGAGGAUGAGGUGAUGGGCAUCACCAAUACCUACCAGUGAGUGGAUGAGGUGCUGUGCAUCACCAAUACCUACCAGUGAGAGGAUGAGGUGCUGUGCUUCACCUACUGUACCAGUGAGUGGAUGAGGUGAUGGGCAUCACCAAUACCUACCAGUGAGAGGAUGAGGUGCUGUGCAUCACCAAUACCUACCAGUGAGAGGAUGAGGUGCUGUGCAUCACCUACUGUACCAGUGAGAGGAUGAGGUGCUGUGCUUCACCUACUGUACCAGUGAGAGGAUGAGGUCAUGUGCAUCACCAAUACCUACCAGUGAGUGGAUGAGGUGCUGUGCUUCACCUACUGUACCAGUGAGUGGAUGAGGUCAUGUGCAUCACCAAUACCUACCAGUGAGUGGAUGAGGUGAUGAGCAUCACCAAUACCUACCAGUGAGUGGAUGAGGUGCUGUGCAUUACCAAUACCUACCAGUGAGUGGAUGAGGUGAUGAGCAUCACCAAUACCUACCAGUGAGUGGAUGAGGUGAUGAGCAUCACCAAUACCUACCAGUGAGUGGAUGAGGUGCUGUGCAUUACCAAUACCUACCAGUGAGUGGAUGAGGUGAUGAGCAUCACCAAUACCUACCAGUGAGUGGAUGAGGUGCUGUGCUUCACCUACUGUACCAGUGAGUGGAUGAGGUGCUGUGCAUCACCAAUACCUACCAGUGAGUGGAUGAGGUGCUGUGCAUCACCAAUACCUACCAGUGAGUGGAUGAGGUGCUGUGCAUUACCAAUACCUACCAGUGAGUGGAUGAGGUGAUGAGCAUCACCAAUACCUACCAGUGAGUGGAUGAGGUGCUGUGCAUCACCAAUACCUACCAGUGAGUGGAUGAGGUGCUGUGCAUCACCAAUACCUACCAGUGAGUGGAUGAGGUGCUGUGCAUCACCAAUACCUACCAGUGAGUGGAUGAGGUGCUGUGCAUUACCAAUACCUACCAGUGAGUGGAUGAGGUGAUGAGCAUCACCAAUACCUACCAGUGAGUGGAUGAGGUGCUGUGCUUCACCAAUACCUACCAGUGAGUGGAUGAGGUGAUGAGCAUCACCAAUACCUACCAGUGAGUGGAUGAGGUGCUCUGCAGAGUUAGUUUGUGUCUUACCUUGUUGAGAGGUAGUGUGUGGUUCGUAUAGCCCAUUGCAGUGAGAUGUGUUCAUAUCUUAAACAAUUAUAAUAACAAUCAUUUAUACCUGU